AAGCUUGGUGAGGACAUUUCUUAAGCAUCACCUUAAAUCUCUCCCAAUUUUCAUAAAUUGACUCUCCUUCAAACUAGCAAAAUGAUGUGAUACCAUUUCUAAGUUU